rnacentral:rRNA from 1 species
GACGAACCGUGCGAACGUUGUUCGGAAUCACUGGGCUUAAAGGGCGCGUAGGCGGCCUUCUAAGUCGAACGUGAAAUCCCCGGGCUCAACCCGGGAACUGCGUCCGAUACUGGAAGGCUUGAAUCCGGGAGAGGGAUGUGGAAUUCCAGGUGUAGCGGUGAAAUGCGUAGAUAUCUGGAGGAACACCGGUGGCGAAGGCGACAUCCUGGACCGGUAUUGACGCUGAGGCGCGAAAGCCAGGGGAGCAAACGGG